rnacentral:misc_RNA from 1 species
CACCAACAAAGUUGAACGCGUCGCGUCACUCUGCCACCCUUUUCUACUCCCGGUGGUCAAACCAGGCAUGGAAAAUGAGAAAGUUGGAUGUGUUUCCAAUGGUGAAGAUGCUGAGCAUGAAGACCAGAAGGUGGAGGAGUUUUUCGCUUUGAUUAGAAGGUUUCAGGAGGCCCGUAACCGAAGAAAAGAUCAAGAAUUGGUAGACAAGGAGAGAAAGAAGAAGGUUAGAAGGUUAAAUGAAGG